AUACGGAGGGGGCAAGCGUUGUUCGGAAUCACUGGGCGUAAAGCGCGCGUAGGUGGAUUGAUCAGUCAGGGGUGAAAGCCCGAGGCUCAACCUCGGAACUGCCCUUGAUACUGUCAGUCUAGAGUUCGAGAGAGGUGAGUGGAAUUCCUAGUGUAGGGGUGAAAUUCGUAGAUAUUAGGAAGAACACCAGUGGCGAAGGCGGCUCACUGGCUCGAUACUGACACUGAGGCGCGAAAGCGUGGGGAGCAAACAGGAUUAGAAACCCCGGUAGUCC
rnacentral:rRNA from 1 species